ACCUACGGGGGGCAGCAGCCGCGGUAAUACGUAGGGGGCAAGCGUUAUCCGGAUUUACUGGGUGUAAAGGGAGCGUAGACGGCUGUGCAAGUCUGAAGUGAAAGCCCAGGGCUCAACCCUGGGACUGCUUUGGAAACUGUGGAGCUAGAGUGCUGGAGAGGUAAGUGGAAUUCCUAGUGUAGCGGUGAAAUGCGUAGAUAUUAGGAGGAACACCAGUGGCGAAGGCGGCUUACUGGACAGUAACUGACGUUGAGGCUCGAAAGCGUGGGGAGCAAACAGGAUUAGAAACCCCAGUAGUCCAGAUC
rnacentral:rRNA from 1 species